CUGUGUUACAGAGUUUACAAAAUCCAGUCAGCAUUGCUUGACGCCGGCGAAUCCAGAGGUCAACAAUAAAAACGUUGAGGACAUCAUAUUUUCGUCAGUGGGAUUUGCCUGCGAGAACAAUGGAAAACGUCUCAAAGAUCUAGUACCCGCCAGGAGCGCGGAAUGUAUCUCUGUCACAAAUAAAGAUCUCAUGGCCUGUCGUCGGUGACUAUUAUCCAACAAAGAUAUUCCUAGGAGCAGCUUUAGCACGAAUUGGACCACAGAACAGUACGCCGUAUUCAAGGAAUAUCAACGCUGUAGCGUCGACGUCCUCAGAACAUGCCAGAACCAGACGACCGCGAACUACAUAAAUGACCUGGCAAACGAUUGGCUUGCGCUAACGCCGAAGACUUCGCCUUCGGUGUAAUUGGAAUCUAGGGCGCAUCCGGUCGACAAAUGACGAGGACUUUUCGUCCAGGUGUCUUCAACACGCUCCAAAUCGUCCGAAUUGACACGAACUUCGGCAUCCAAGGAAGAAGAACAGUUUCGGAA